rnacentral:rRNA from 1 species
CCAAUAGCGUAUAUUAAGUUGCUGCGGUUAAAAAGCUCGUAGUUGAAUUUCGGGAUUGAUGCAUCGGUCGUGCCUUAAGUGGUAUGAACUGGUGUGGUCAAUUUCUUACCUUCUGGUGAAUUGUGAUGUCCUCCUUAAUUGGGUGUUUCAAUGAACUAGGACUUUUUACUUUGAAAAAAUUAGAGUGUUUAAAGCAGGCAUUAUUUGCUUGAAUACAUUAGCAUGGAAUAAUAAAAUAGGACAAUGAUUCUAUUUUGUUGGUUUCUAGGAUCAUUGUAAUGAUUAAUAGGGAUAGUUGGGGGCAUUAGUAUUCAAUUGUCAGAGGUGAAAUUCUUGGAUUAAUUGAAGACUAACUACUGCGAAAGCAUUUGCCAAGGAUAUUUUCAUUAAUCAAGAACGAAAGUUAGGGGAUCGAAGACGAUUAGGUACGUCGUAGUCUUAACCAUAAACUAUGCGGACUAGGAAUCAGACAACGUUAAAUUUUUAAUGACUUGUUUGGCACCUUACG